AACCGACCCCGGAAGCGGCGGGGGCGGCGGGGCUGGGCCGGCCGGCAGGGGUGGGCGGCGCCGGGCAUGGUAACGGGCGGGCGGGCCGAGCUCCGCCGCGGCGCCGCCAUGAUGAUCCACGGCUUCCAGAGCAGCCACCAGGACUUCGCCUUCGGGCCCUGGAAGCUCACGGCCGCCAAGACGCACAUCAUGAAGUCGGCGGACGCCGAGAAGUUGGCCAAUGAGCUGCACAUGCCGUCCCUCCCGGAGAUGAUGUUCGGGGACAACGUCCUCCGGAUCCUGCACUGCUCCGGCUUCGGGAUCGAGUUCAACGCCACGGACGCGCUGAGGUGUGUCAACAACUUCCAGGGCAUGCUGAAGGUGGCGUGCGCUGAGGAGUGGCAGGAGAGCAGGACGGAGGGCGAGCACUCCAAGGAGGUGCUGAAGCCGUACGACUGGACCUACACGACUGACUACAAGGGCACGCUCCUCGGGGAGGCCCUGAAGCUGAAGGUCGUGCCGACCACAGACCACAUCGACACGGAGAAGCUGAAAGCCCGCGAGCAGAUCAAGUUCUUCGAGGAGGUUCUCCUGUUUGAGGACGAGCUCCACGAUCACGGGGUGUCCAGCCUCACUGUGAAGAUCAGAGUGAUGCCGUCCAGCUUCUUCCUGCUGCUGAGGUUCUUCCUGCGGAUCGACGGGGUGCUCAUCCGGAUGAACGACACGCGGCUGUACCACGAGGCGGACCAGACGUACAUGCUGCGGGAAUACACAUCUCGGGAGAGCAAGAUCGCCAACCUCAUGCACGUGCCGCCCGCGCUGUUCACAGAGCCCAACGAGAUCUCCAAGUACCUGCCCGUCAAGGAGGCCGUCUGCGAGAAGCUGCUGUUCCCCGACAGGAUCGACUCGAACCCCGCCGACGCGCAGGACAAGACCCUGCUCAAGUAGCGGAAUCACCCCUGGCUGUGCUCAGGGGACCAUAUGGGAUGCUGGGAUUUGAACCCGGGUUGGCCGCGUGCAAGGCAAACGCCCUACCCGCUGUGCUAUCGCUCCAGCCCCGAGAUGAUUUAGUUUUCAAGGAAUAGCUAAGCUCCUCAGAUAUUGGAGCUACAUUUCCAUGACGGGACUGGAAUGUGUAUAAGUCGUACCUCACCUCACCUUCCGAUUGGUUUUAUUUUCCAUGCAGAUUUGAACAAAACAGAUGCAAUUUAUAAAACUUUCUAAGAUGGGAAAAACUUGUAAGACUAUUUCAUGAGCUGAAGCUCAUAGGCCAGUUCUGUUAGUUUGAUUCAGAUUUCUUAGUUCCUGAAUCACUCCUCAGUGGCUGUGAAACAUGGUAGAGAUUUAAAAAUUAAAUUUUUUUUUUUUAAAUUAUGGAUGGGAGGUAGAUAAGUGAGUGUAUACCCGGGAACUUUGUUAUCUUCUUGUGGGGGGAAGAAGCCCAGAGAAGCCGUGUCUGACCAUUGCUACAGAAGAUAUAUGCCAUUUUAUAUUUAUUUGUUCCUAGUGUCUUUUUGUAAAAGGGGAAUAAACAAGGAAGUGCUUAUUUUGUUUCGCUA